rnacentral:tRNA from 1 species
CAAGAAAUAGUUUAUUAAAAUAUUAAUUUUGGGGAUUAAAGAUAAAGAAGCUUCUUUUUUCUUGA